rnacentral:rRNA from 1 species
AUGGAUCUGGCGGCUGCGCCUGCUUCCUCGUCCGACACGGGAUCCCAGGGGGACUCGCCUGCGCGCUCGUCUGCAUGCGCCCUGCCUGGAUCUUCUGUGGCCACCGGAUCCUCUGUUCCGCCUGUGCAUACAAUGACGACGUGCACGCGUGAUCACACUCGCAAACCAAAGCAACGUACAGAUGGUACUGUCACGUACAAUCCGUCCCGUCAUGCCUUCUUGGCCCUGCGGGAACCAGUGGAUCAUCGUGAAGCUGUUUCAUCUCCGGAGUGGCGACUGGCCAUGCAACUUGAGCUCGAUGCGUUACGACAGAAUGGUACCUGGACUUUGGUUCCUCCUCCUCGUGUCAACGUCAUUGACUGCAAAUGGGUGUUCAAAAUCAAACACAAACCAGAUGGCACUAUUGAUUGGUACAAGGCACGUCUGGUUGCAAAGGGGUUCAAACAACGCUAUGGCUUGGACUAUGAUGAUACGUUUAGCCCGGUCGUUAAACCUGUCGCUGUGUGUUUUGUUCUAUCCAUUGCAGUCUCUCGUGGAUGGUGUUUGCGUCAGUUGGAUGUUCAAAAUGCUUUUCUUCAUGGCAUUCUCCAAGAAGAGGUAUACAUGCGCCAACCUCCUGGUUUUGUGAAUCCCUCGAUGCCUCAUCAUUUGUGCAAACUUCGCAAGGCUCUCUAUGGCCUCAAACAGGCUCCUCGAGUGUGGUAUUCUCGGCUGAGUUUUAGGCUUCAACAACUUGGUUUUAUCGCAUCCAAAGCUGACACGUCUCUCUUUGUCUACAACCAAAGUGGUGUUACCAUUUUCAUGCUUGUGUAUGUAGAUGACAUUAUUGUGGCCAGCUCCUCUACCACUGGUAUUACCAAGUUACUUGCCGAUCUUCAAGCCUCUUUUGCUCUCAAGGAUCUCGGCCCCUUGCAUUAUUUUCUUGGAGUACAUGUGGAGUCAUCGCCAGAGGGAAUUGUUCAGUCUCAGCAGAAGUAUAUUAGCGACAUUCUUCGUUGUGCAAACAUGGAGAAUUGUAAAGUCUCUACCACGCCCAUGUCCUCCAGUGAGAAAAUUAGCAAGGAGAGUGGAUCACCACUGUCUCAGGAGGAUAGCACCAGGUAUCGUUGGAGCUCUCCAGUAUCUAACACUCACAAGGCCAGAUAUCUCUUUUGCUGUUAA